AGCGAACGCUGGCGGCAUGCUUAACACAUGCAAGUCGCACGGCCCGCAAGGGCAGUGGCGGACGGGUGAGUAACGCGUAGGUAUCUGUCUCCGGGUGGGGAUAACUGUGGGAAACUACAGCUAAUACCGCAUGAAGCCUGAGGGCCAAAGGCGCAAGUCGCCUGGAGAGGAGCCUGCGUACGAUUAGCUUGUUGGCGGGGUAAAGGCCCACCAAGGCGACGAUCAGUAGCUGGUCUGAGAGGAUGAUCAGCCACAUUGGGACUGAGACACGGCCCAAACUCCUACGGGAGGCAGCAGUGGGGAAUAUUGGACAAUGGGCGCAAGCCUGAUCUAGCCAUGCCGCGUGAGUGAUGAAGGCCCUAGGGUUGUAAAGCUCUUUGUGCGGGAAGAUAAUGACGUA
rnacentral:rRNA from 1 species